GGAGAUUGCCAUUAAUUGCUAUUGAACGCUGGCGGUAUGCUUAACACAUGCAAUUGACCCUAAAGUCAUGUAACGCGUGAGAAUCUGGCUUCAGGUCUGGGACAACCACUGGAAACGGUGGCUAAUACCGGAUGUGCCGAGAGGUGAGGAGGUUAACUGCCUGAAGAUGAGCUCGCGCCCAUGUCUGAUUAGCUAGUUGGUAGAGUAAGAGGCGCUCCCAUAAGGCGACGAUCAGUAGCUAGUCUGAAGGCCCAGAGGACGAUCAGCCACACUGGGACUGAUAGGCGGGAGGCAGCAGUGGGGAAUUUUCCGCAAUGGGCGAAAGCCUGACGGAGCAAUACCGCGUGAGGGCCGAAGGCUCUUGGGUCGUAAACCUCUUUUCUCAGGGAAGAACACAACGACGGUACCUGAGGAAUAAGCAGGCUAACUCCGUGCCAGCAGCCGCGGUAAUACGGAGGAUGCAAGCGUUAUCCGGAAUGAUUGGGCGUAAAGCGUCCGCAGGUGGCAAUGUAAGUCUUUGCAAUGCUGUUAAAGAGUCUAGCUCAACUAGAUAAGAGCAGUACAUAGCUAGAGUACGUUCGGCCCAGAGGGAAUUCCUGGUGUAGCGGUGAAAUGCGUAGAGAUCAGGAAGAACACCGGUGGCGAAGGCGCUCUGCUAGGCCGUAACUGACACUGAGGGACGAAAGCUAGGGUAGCGAAUGGGAUUAGAUACCCCAGGGUUAAUAGUCCUAGCCGUAAACGAUGGAUACUAGGCGUGGCUUGUAUCGACCCUGCCGUAGCUAACGCGUUAAGUAUCCCGCCUGGGAAGUACGCCGGCAACGGUGAAACUCAAAGGAAUUGACGGGGGCCCGCACAAGCGGUGGAACGCCUUGAAGUAUGUGGUUUAAUUCGAUGCAACGCGAAGAACCUUAAAUGGACAUGUCGCGAAUCUUGAUGAAAGUUGAGAGUGCCUUCGGGAGCGCGAACACAGGUGGUGCAUGGGUCAGCUCGUGUCGUUGCCAAUUUGAGAUGUUGGGUUAAGUCCCGCAACGAGCGCAACCCUCGUUUUUAGUUAAGUUGGGCACUCUAGAGAGACUGCCGGCAUGGUGACAAACCGGAGGAAGGUGGGGAUGACGUCAAGUUUGGUGCCCCUUACGCCUUGGGCUACACACGUACUACAAUGCUUGAAAUCCGGACAGAGGGCAGCAAGCAAGCAAAUCCCGGAAACCGGAGCUCAGUUCAGGAAAUCGCAGGCUGCAGAAACUCGCCUGCGUGAAGGAGGUUGCUAGUAAUUGCAGGUCAGCAUACUGCAGUGAAUUCGUUCCCGGCCCUUGUUUACACACCGCCCGUCACGGAAUUGCCAUGUAUGGGAAUUUGACUACCAACUUGGCCCU
rnacentral:rRNA from 1 species